rnacentral:rRNA from 1 species
GAUGAACGCUGGCGGCGUGCUUAACACAUGCAAGUCGAACGAAGCAUAAGAGACAGAAUACUACGGUAGGAAGAUUUUUAUGACUGAGUGGCGGACGGGGGAGUAACGCGUGGGUAACCUGCCUCAUACAGGGGGAUAACAGUUAGAAAUGGCUGCUAAUACCGCAUAAGCGCACAGUACUGCAUGGUACAGUGUGAAAAACUCUGGUGGUAUGAGAUGGACCCGCGUCUGAUUAGCUAGUUGGUGAGGUAAGGGCUCACCAAGGCAACGAUCAGUAGCCGACCUGAGAGGGUGAACGGCCACAUUGGGACUGAGACACGGCCCAA